CCUGGCUCAAGAGCCUCCGCUCAUUGGUCCGAAUGUGACAGUGACCCGGAUGUUGUUCCCAAGAACGCCGGGAAGCCCAGUUGCAAGCGUAGAGCGGGUAGUAAGGCUCGGAAAGCUGCUCAUCUGGGCGGAGCUGAUCCACGGGCGGGUUACGGGGGCUGCACCCUUCUUGGACGCCAAAGCCUGACCCUCGUUCCCUGGUGGCUUACACCGGUCCAGUCAUUGGAGCCUCGUUUUCACUUCUAAGGUGUGGCCUAAGGGCGAAGGGGAUGAGAGACGAGUGUAUGCUCCUGGAACCGGGCAUCGAGCAUGGCUCGGGUCAACACCGUAACACCUUCGCCCGGAUCCAGUAAAAAAGGACCCACAUGGCGAAAGAAGCGAACCAACUCCAGAAGUUGUCAUCGCUGAGGCGAUCUCCACACACAAAAUAAAAUUAAGAGUCAAUAAAGAUCGCCUUCGCAGGCUCCCCAGGAACAUGUGUUUGUUUCUACUUUAUCUUUCAAUUAAAAUAUAUUUACAUCAUCCCUUU